GUCUACUGUCAUACCACCCUGCAUGCACCUGAUCUUGUCUGAUCUUGGAAGCCAAGCAGGUUUGGUAUUUGGUUAGUACUUGGAUGGGAGACUACCUGGGAAUACCGGGUGCUGUAGACU
rnacentral:rRNA from 1 species